rnacentral:rRNA from 1 species
GAUGAACGCUGGCGGCGUGCCUAAUACAUGCAAGUCGAGCGAACAGACGAGGAGCUUGCUCCUCUGAUGUUAGCGGCGGACGGGUGAGUAACACGUGGAUAACCUACCUAUAAGACUGGGAUAACUUCGGGAAACCGGAGCUAAUACCGGAUAACAUGUUGAACCGCAUGGUUCAACAGUGAAAGACGGUCUUGCUGUCACUUAUAGAUGGAUCCGCGCCGCAUUAGCUAGUUGGUAAGGUAACGGCUUACCAAGGCAACGAUGGGUAGCCGACCUGAGAGGGUGAUCAGCCACACUGGAACUGAGACACGGUCCAGACUCCUACGGGAGGCAGCAGUAGGGAAUCUUCCGCAAUGGGCGGAAGCCUGACGGAGCAACGCCGCGUGAGUGAAGAAGGUCUUCGGAUCGUAAAACUCUGUUAUUAGGGAAGAACAAAUGUGUAAGUAACUAUGCACGUCUUGACGGUACCUAAUCAGAAAGCCACGGCUAACUACGUG